CUUCACGAGACGCGUCGGCAAGCUCCGACUCUAGGCGCGCACCAACCCCAGGUUCAUGGGUGGUUCGGAUGAAGAAGCGGCCGCGGUCCACUUGGCCCCGGCAAGAGCUAGUG
rnacentral:ncRNA from 2 species